AUUGAACGCUGGCGGCAUGCCUUACACAUGCAAGUCGAACGGCAGCACGGGUGCUUGCACCUGGUGGCGAGUGGCGAACGGGUGAGUAAUACAUCGGAACGUACCUUAUCGUGGGGGAUAACGCAGCGAAAGCUGUGCUAAUACCGCAUACGCCCUGAGGGGGAAAGCGGGGGAUCGCAAGACCUCGCGCGAUUAGAGCGGCCGAUGCCUGAUUAGCUAGUUGGUGGGGUAAAAGCCCACCAAGGCGACGAUCAGUAGCUGGUCUGAGAGGACGAUCAGCCACACUGGGACUGAGACACGGCCCAGACUCCUACGGGAGGCAGCAGUGGGGAAUUUUGGACAAUGGGGGCAGCCCUGAUCCAGCAAUGCCGCGUGAGUGAAGAAGGCCUUCGGGUUGUAAAGCUCUUUUGUCAGGGAAGAAACACCGGCUCUAACACAGUCCGGGAAUGACGGUACCUGAAGAAUAAGCACUGGCUAACUACGUGCCAGCCGCCGCCGUAA
rnacentral:rRNA from 1 species